UACGGAGGGUGCAAGCGUUAUCCGGAAUCACUGGGUUUAAAGGGUGCGUAGGCGGCAGAAUAAGUCAGAGGUGAAAUCUUGCGGCUCAACCGUAAAAUUGCCUUUGAUACUGUUAUGCUUGAAUCAGGUUGAGGUAGGCAGAAUGUGGCAUGUAGCGGUGAAAUGCAUAGAUAUGCCAUAGAAUACCAAUUGCGAAGGCAGCCUGCUGGACCUGUAUUGACGCUGAGGCACGAAAGCGUGGGGAUCAAACAGG
rnacentral:rRNA from 1 species